rnacentral:tRNA from 1 species
UAAAAUGAAAUCAUUAGAUAUUUCUUUUACAAUGAAAAUUAGUUUGUAAAAACCAUUUUAA